rnacentral:lncRNA from 1 species
CGUGCCACCUUGGGCAGAGAGUCCUGUCAAUGAGUGCCAAGGUUGCCGACAGACGUCCACGUCCUGAAGGACACAUCAUGGCUGUCACUGUGCUGGCUCUGUGUACAACUUGUUGCUCUCAAGGUGAUGUGUCCUGCCUCAGGCUCUUGUUACGAAACACUAUCUUAAAGCAGCAGCUGCGCACCGAGGAGGCUGCAGAAGUCCAGAGCAAGCUCCUGCAUGUCUUGCAGAAGCCACUGCUCUACUUCUGAGGAGUCCAGGACACCGUCAAGGAGGCCCUUGAGCAAGUGCCCUUCUUCUGGCAUUGUCAAAUUAACCUGCACAGAUAUAAGGAAACUGUGGUUUUCAGCCUCUUUCUGUGAAGUGGUAUGUCCUUUUGCUGGAUCAAGCAUAGCUUACCUGAUGCUUGAAGGGAGACAAUCUCU